GCCCGCCUAGCUCAAUCGGAUAGAGCGUCAGACUCUUAUCCGCACGACUUGGCUCGUGGGGCAAUCUGAAGGCUGCGAGUUCGACCCUCGCGGUGGGCU
rnacentral:tRNA from 1 species